CUAAAUACUCCCUAGUGACCGAUAGUGAACCAGUACCGUGAGGGAAAGGUGAAAAGCACCCCGGGAGGGGAGUGAAAUAGAACCUGAAACCGUGUGCCUACAACAAGUUCGAGCCCGUUAAUGGGUGAGAGCGUGCCUUUUGUAGAAUGAACCGGCGAGUUACGAUAUGAUGCGAGGUUAAGUUGAAGAGACGGAGCCGCAGGGAAACCGAGUCUGAAUAGGGCGAAUUAGUAUCAUGUCGUAGACCCGAAACCAUGUGACCUACCCAUGAGCAGGUUGAAGGUGCGGUAAGACGCACUGGAGGACCGAACCAGGGCACGUUGAAAAGUGCUUGGAUGACUUGUGGGUAGCGGAGAAAUUCCAAACGAACUUGGAGAUAGCUGGUUCUCUCCGAAAUAGCUUUAGGGCUAGCGUCGACAUAAAGAUUCUUGGAGGUAGAGCACUGUUUGGGUGAGGGGUCCAUCCCGGAUUACCAAUCUCAGAUAAACUCCGAAUGCCAAUGAAUUAUGGUCGGCAGUCAGACUGCGAGUGCUAAGAUCCGUAGUCGAAAGGGAAACAGCCCAGACCACCAGCUAAGGUCCCAAAAUAAUUGUUAAGUGGAAAAGGAUGUGGGGUUGCACAGACAACUAGGAUGUUAGCUUAGAAGCAGCUAUUCAUUCAAAGAGUGCGUAAUAGCUCACUAGUCGAGUGACCCUGCGCCGAAAAUGUACCGGGGCUAAAACAAUUUACCGAAGCUGUGGAUACCUUUAUAGGUAUGGUAGGAGAGCGUUCUAUGUGUGAAGAAGGUAUACCGUGAGGAGUGCUGGAACGCAUAGAAGUGAGAAUGCCGGUAUGAGUAGCGAAAGACAGGUGAGAAUCCUGUCCACCGUAAGACUAAGGUUUCCAGGGGAAGGCUCGUCCGCCCUGGGUUAGUCGGGACCUAAGGAGAGACCGAAAGGUGUAUCCGAUGGACAACAGGUUGAUAUUCCUGUACUAGAGUAUGUAGUGAUGGAGGGACGCAGUAGGCUAACUAAAGCAGACGAAUGGAAGUGUCUGUCUAAGCAGUGAGGUGUGAUAUGAGUCAAAUGCUUAUAUCUAUAACAUUGAGCUGUGAUGGGGAGCGAAGUUUAGUAGCGAAGUUAGUGACGUCACACUGCCAAGAAAAGCUUCUAGCGUUUAAACAUACUCUACCCGUACCGCAAACCGACACAGGUAGUCGAGGCGAGUAGCCUCAGGUGAGCGAGAGAACUCUCGUUAAGGAACUCGGCAAAAUGACCCCGUAACUUCGGGAGAAGGGGUGCUGACUUUAGGUCAGCCGCAGUGAAUAGGCCCAAGCAACUGUUUAUCAAAAACACAGCUCUCUGCUAAAUCGUAAGAUGAUGUAUAGGGGGUGACGCCUGCCCGGUGCUGGAAGGUUAAGAGGAGUGCUUAGGAGUAAUCCGAAGGUAUGAAUUGAAGCCCCAGUAAACGGCGGCCGUAACUAUAACGGUCCUAAGGUAGCGAAAUUCCUUGUCGGGUAAGUUCCGACCCGCACGAAAGGCGUAAUGAUUUGGGCACUGUCUCAACGAGAGACUCGGUGAAAUUUUAGUACCUGUGAAGAUGCAGGUUACCCGCGACAGGACGGAAAGACCCCAUGGAGCUUUACUGCAGUUUGAUAUUGAGUGUCUGUACCACAUGUACAGGAUAGGUAGGAGUCUAAGAGAUCGGGACGCCAGUUUCGAAGGAGACGUUGUUGGGAUACUACCCUUGUGUUAUGGCCACUCUAACCCGGAUAGGUUAUCCCUAUCGGAGACAGUGUCUGACGGGCAGUUUGACUGGGGCGGUCGCCUCCUAAAAGGUAACGGAGGCGCCCAAAGGUUCCCUCAGAAUGGUUGGAAAUCAUUCGAAGAGUGUAAAGGCAGAAGGGAGCUUGACUGCGAGACCUACAAGUCGAGCAGGGACGAAAGUCGGGCUUAGUGAUCCGGUGGUUCCGCAUGGAAGGGCCAUCGCUCAACGGAUAAAAGCUACCCUGGGGAUAACAGGCUUAUCUCCCCCAAGAGUUCACAUCGACGGGGAGGUUUGGCACCUCGAUGUCGGCUCGUCGCAUCCUGGGGCUG
rnacentral:rRNA from 1 species